rnacentral:lncRNA from 1 species
ACUAGCGAUUCCACUGGGCGCUAUAGGCAGGGCGCACUCACCGAACUCCCCAAUCCCUUCCAGCCUCAGAGCCCGCCUGGCAGGACUACUGAGCAAGGCCUUGGAAAAUCGGAGCGAUUAGAGCGGUUCAAACAAUACAGAAGUGUAUAAAGUAAGAAUUGAAAGUCUCUUCGCUGCUCUAAUCUCACUCCUCAGAGGUGAUCACUGUGUGGAAGAUGAUCAAAGUAUGACAUUUCUUCUACCCCAGAGGCUGGCAUUUCUGCAGGCACAAAUGAGCUUGGUUUUCAAGCACUGCUCUUUGAACACAAGGAAUUCCUUUAAUGAUCACGCCGGACUAUAUAGACUUUGGAAUCAGACUCUUUGAAUUCCAGCUCUGCCAUUUACCAACUUUGACACUUUGGGUAAGUCCUUUUAACCUCUUUAAGCCUCAGUUUCCUUUUCUGCAAACAGGAAUAAUGAUAACUAACAAUAAUAAUAAUAAUCCUUUCUCAUUGAUUAAAAAU